AGCAGACAAAAUAGUUUUGAAAACAUUUUGCAAAAUGUAAAGUAGUAGGCAAAUAUUUGCUGUUAUUAUACAUAAUAACUCAUGCUCUACCACGAAACAGCGCUGCUCUCAGAAUGAGAUCAUUGUGUGCUGCAAAUCCUCCCUGGGGCUGCUCAGGACUCGGGCGUCUGUUGAUUUUCCUUCUAGCCAUUCUGAAGGACGGACGGAGACCGUGCUGAAGGAGAGCUGGGAACAUGGAGGUGACAGAAGAGAGUUCCAGUACUGCCCCUGCCCCAGUGCCUUGGCAUCAUUUCCAGACUUCCCUAAGCUUCAGUUCUUUGCCUGUAAAGUGGGGGCCAGGAAGUGCCUACCUCCCAGGCCCGGGUGACCACAGCCAGGGACACUUUAGCCCGGAGUCUGGCUCAAAAGAUGUCGGUGACAACAAUCACUGAUCACAAACGUAGGUCAAGCAUGAAGUGGAGACAAAGAACCCCUGGUGUGAGCACAUGUAAUGCUUUCUAUGAUCACCUGGAAACUAAGCACAGCAGGAGUCACAGAACAAUGGGGCCGUCCCCCUGCUCUCGUCCAGGCUUCGGUGACAGAGGAGCUGGGGCUCGGGGUUCGGUUUCUGCUCCACCAUGGGGUCCUGCGGUCUCAGGUCCCUGUUUCCUUGCAGCACCUCCAAACCUCGGCUGCUCCCCUGAGCCUCUGGCCAGGGGCCGCUAGCAGGUGGGGCUGUUUCUGAGGGGCUGUGCUGUGCUGCAUGACCUCAGAGGAGCUGCAUGCUUCUCUGGAAUGAAGGACAGCACGGGAGGGAGCCGGCCUCCUCUUCAUCGCAUCGAAGGUUCCUUCACAUAGUUCCCGUUCAUGUAGCCGUGGGGAGCCUCUGCACACAAGUGGGGUACAAGGCUGCCUGGUGAUGUUCCUGGAGGUAUGGUGGUGGAGCCAUCUACACCGGAUGCCCAGCAAGCUCAGAACAAAGGGGGGGUGCCACUGGAGACCAGCCCGGUGGCUGCUGAGGGGGGCAGGACAGGACUAGAAGGGAUCCGGGGUGGGGAGUGGAGAAGACACCCCAGGAGUCCCCAGCCUCACUGACCCCACCACCCAGUUUGCUCCCGCUGCAGGCACAGCCUCCACCCAGGUCUCUUGGCCCCACUAUGACUGUUCCUAUGAUGACGGCCAAACACGGAUUUUCCCAGGAGAAUCCACUCCUUGUUUUAUUCAUUGGCUUUUCUCUGAGGUUGCGAGGAAUGGAAAUACACAUUCAGCCUCUGUUUUUUUUUUUCUUAAAGAUUUUAUUUAUUUAUUUAACAGAGAGAUAGAGAGCACAAGUAGGCAGAGUGGCAGGCAGAGGGAGAGAGAGAACAGGCUCCUUGCUGAGCAGGAAGUGUGGGGCUUGAUCCCAGGACGCUGAGAUCAUGACUUGAGCUGAAGGCAGCCACUUAACAGACAGAGCCACACAGGCACUCCUCAGCCUCCGUUUUAAGGACAUUCUCAUUGCUACAUUAUUUCUUUCACAUUUUAGGUGUCCAAAGGAGUGGGAAGCUGCAGCCCCCUUUACUCUUCCUCCCCCCCGCCCCCCCGUUUACCGUAGGCUGGAGCGCCUGGGACAGCAGGGUUCACACUGGCUACUCAGUGGGAAAGCAGGGCAAGGAGCAAUGUGGGUAUUGCCAUUUUUUAAAAAA